rnacentral:rRNA from 1 species
CUUAGUUGCCAUCAUUCAUUGGGCACUCUAAAGAGACUGCCGGUGUCAAACCGGAGAAGUGGGGAUGACGUCAAGUCCUCAUGGCCUUUAUGACCAGGGCUACACACGUACUACAAUGGCCGGUACAAAGGGCAGCCACUUAGCGAUAAGGAGCCAAUCCCGUAAAGCCGGUCUCAGUCCGGAUUGGAGUCUGCAACUCGACUCCAUGAAGUUGGAAUCGCUAGUAAUCGCAGAUCAGCACGCUGCGGUGAAUACGUUCCCGGGCCUU